rnacentral:rRNA from 1 species
AGAGGAAGUAAAAGUCGUAACAAGGUUUCCGUAGGUGAACCUGCGGAAGGAUCAUUAAAAAACUUACCAAAACACUGUUUUAGAUUUAUAAAACCCACCAGUUAAGUUCAAUUAAACAAAAUAUAAAACUUUCAACAACGGAUCUCUUGGUUCUCGCAUCGAUGAAGAACGCAGCGAAAUGCGAUACGUAGUAUGACUUGCAGACGUGAAUCAUCGAAUCUUUGAACGCACAUUGCGCCUUGGGGCAUUCUCCAAGGCAUGCCUGUUUGAGCGUGAUUUCUUCUCACCGCCCAGGUGGUUUUGCAUCCGCUAAAUAACAUAUCCGCAGCGAAGUCUACGCUUUCACUGCACCAUGCUAUUUCCUCAAAUCAGGUAGGACUGCCCGCUGAACUUAAGCAUAUCAAUAGUCGGAGGAA